CCUACGGGGGGCAGCAGUGAGGAAUAUUGGUCAAUGGACGAGAGUCUGAACCAGCCAAGUAGCGUGAAGGAUGACUGCCCUAUGGGUUGUAACCUUCUUUUAUCUGGGAAUAAAAUGUUCCACGUGUGGGAUUUUGUAUGUACCAUAUGAAUAAGGAUCGGCUAACUCCGUGCCAGCAGCCGCGGUAAUACGGAGGAUCCGAGCGUUCUCCGGAUUUAUUAGGUUUAAAGGGAGCGUAGGUGGAUUGUUAAGUCAGUUGUGAAUGUUUGCGGCUCAACCGUAAAAUUGCAGUUGAAACUGGCAGUCUUGAGUACAGUAGAGGUGGGCGGAAUUCGUGGUGUAGCGGUGAAAUGCUUAGAUAUCACGAAGAACUCCGAUUGCGAAGGCAGCUCACUGGACUGCAACUGACACUGAGGCUCGAAAGUGUGGGUAUCAAACAGGAUUAGAUACCCGGGUAGUC
rnacentral:rRNA from 1 species